UACAGAGGGUGCGAGCGUUGUUCGGAAUUACUGGGCGUAAAGCGCGCGCAGGCGGCUCUUUAAGUCUCGUGGUCAAAUGCCGGGGCUCAACCCCGAGCGUGCCGGGGAUACUGGAGGGCUGGAGACAGGUAGAGGCAAGCGGAAUUCCGGGUGUAGAGGUGGAAUGCGUAGAGAUCCGGAAGAACACCGGAGGCGAAGGCGGCUUGCUGGACCUGGUCUGACGCUGAGGCGCGAAAGCGUGGGGAGCGAACAGG
rnacentral:rRNA from 1 species